rnacentral:rRNA from 1 species
AGUGAACGCUGGCGGUAGGCCUAACACAUGCAAGUCGAACGGCAGCACAGUAAGAGCCUGCUCUUACGGGUGGCGAGUGGCGGACGGGUGAGGAAUACAUCGGAAUCUACUUUUUCGUGGGGGAUAACGUAGGGAAACUUACGCUAAUACCGCAUACGACCUACGGGUGAAAGCAGGGGAUCUUCGGACCUUGCGCGAUUGAAUGAGCCGAUGUCGGAUUAGCUAGUUGGCGGGGUAAAGGCCCACCAAGGCGACGAUCCGUAGCUGGUCUGAGAGGAUGAUCAGCCACACUGGAACUGAGACACGGUCCAGACUCCUACGGGAGGCAGCAGUGGGGAAUAUUGGACAAUGGGCGCAAGCCUGAUCCAGCCAUACCGCGUGGGUGAAGAAGGCAUUCGGGUUGUAAAGCCCUUUUGUUGGGAAAGAAAAGCAGCAGGUUAAUACCCCGCUGUUCUGACGGUACCCAAAGAAUAAGCACCGGCUAACUUCGUG